AAGAUAUUUCUGGAUGUACCAUUUUUCUGGAUCUACCAUUCCUCCUCCUCGCCUCUCUCUCUCUCAUUUCUUGAUCGACAGAUACUCAUCCUCCCCUCGCAAAAGAAGAAGAGAGAUUCAUUUAUUGAUCCGUUUGUUGGGAGAUGAUUGAUUCCGUUUCUCGAUUCAUUUGUUAUCAAGGGAUAAUUCAACCUCUCUCCCAUUUCAUUUGUUGACAGAUGAUCCAGCCUCUUGCAUUUUUCUUUCUUUUGUGAGGGAUCUUGCAUUUCAUUUGUAGAGAGACAGCAAUUCAUCCUCUCCUCCCAUUCCAUUUGUAGAAAGAUAGGACAAUCCAUCAUCCCUCGGCCAUUCCCUUUUGUCGAGAGAUAAUCCAUCCAUUACCACAUUGUCCGCAAAAUGCAUCAUGAUCAGGACAGUUACCGUCGCGACAGGGAACAAGGAACUCCUGGGCCGAUGAUGCCUCCGUCCAAGGGCGAGGAGGAGGAGGAGCCUCCUCGUAAGCCUCCGGUGUCCACAACAUGCUUCAUAUUAGGAUUUUUCGCCGCGCUAUGUUGCUGCUGCUUGGUCGACGAGCCGCUCAUGUGACACGCUUGUCUUGCGUGCCGUGCCGUGCUUUGUACAUACUGCAGGAAACAUGCUAUCAUAUCAAAAUAAGUCUGGCCCGUGAAUGCUUUGCUUUCCUUCUGAAAUUCGGAGAAUCCUCCUUGCACACAAGUGAUUGUUGGAACUAUGUAGGUCGGGACUAUUAAGCAAAUUCAAUAAUUUAUAGGUGAAACUUUAGCCCAUAUUGCUACUCGAAAUGGAGUUAGACUGGUAUAUUUUUCGACAAAUUUAUUUCUACUGCUAAGAGUUUGAGAAGAACAUA